rnacentral:rRNA from 1 species
GACGAACGCUGGCGGCGUGCCUAAUACAUGCAAGUCGAACGCAUCCCGUUGAAUUGAAGUGCUUGCACUGAUUUUUAACAUCGGAUGAGUGGCGAACUGGUGAGUAACACGUGGGUAACCUGCCCAGAAGCGGGGGAUAACACUUGGAAACAGGUGCUAAUACCGCAUAACAACAGAAACCGCAUGGUUUCUGUUUGAAAGAUGGUUUCGGCUAUCACUUCUGGAUGGACCCGCGGCGUAUUAGCUUGUUGGUGGAGUAAUGGUUCACCAAGGCAAUGAUACGUAGCCGACCUGAGAGGGUAAUCGGCCACAUUGGGACUGAGACACGGCCCAAACUCCUACGGGAGGCGGCAGUAGGGAAUCUUCCACAAUGGACGAAAGUCUGAUGGAGCAACGCCGCGUGAGUGAAGAAGGGUUUCGGCUCGUAAAACUCUGUUGUUGAAGAAGAACACAUCUGAGAGUAACUGUUCAGGUGUUGACGGUAUUUAACCAGAAAGCCACGGCUAACUACGUGCCAGCAGCCGCCGUAAUAC